rnacentral:snRNA from 1 species
AAAGUAAAAGGGGAGAUAACCAUGAUCAUGAAAGUUUGCCUAUGUCAAGGUUUAUCUACUGCACUUCAGAUGCCUACGAUUUCCGCACAGGUGAGAAACUUGACUGCCUAAUUUGUAGUAAUGGGAGACUGCAUGUACAUGGUCCCU